AUGGGAUGGAGCUGUAUCAUACUCUUCCUUGUGUCCGUAACUAUAGGUGUCCGAUCACAGGUCCUGCUGCAACAGUCUGGGCCUGAGCUUGGGAGACCUGGUUCCUCAGUGAAGUUGUCAUGCAAGGCUUCAGGCUAUACUUUCAGUAGAUACAAUAUGAACUGGGUGAGACAGAGGACUGGACAAGGCCUGGAGUGGACUGGAUGGAUUGAUACUACAAGUGGAAAUACUAAAUAUGCACAGAAUUUCCAGGGCAAGGCCACACUGAAUAGAGACGUAUCCUCCAGCAUGGCGUACAUGGAGGUCAGCAGCCUGACAUCUGAGGACUCUGCCAUCUAUUCCUGUGCAAGACACCCAGUGUUGCACCCACAUCCUGAGUGUGUCAGAGACCAUGGAGGAGCAGGAAACUACCCAAGAAUGGAGAUGACAGAGACGAUCAGUCUGGGAAAACUGCAGAACUUGUCACUGUUUGUGCCUGACAGGGGCCAAUUGUCCUUGUCCUUAGGUACCACUAAAGAUGUCAAACUUGGCCUGGUGAAAAUUCUGAGACCUCCUUUUAACCCAAAUUCUCUCAUCAAGAUCAUGUCUCAGCAGAAUGUGUAA